CAAGAGGCUGAGGUGCCUAUUUACUACAUCACACCUGGACCUGGCUGCCAAGACUUUCCACUGUUCUUCAGCCUUUACCUGUUACAGGAAAGGACCAGCCAAGGCCUAUUCAGGUCCCAGCCAGAAAUGUCCAACAUCACCCUGCCAACCAGAAAGAUGGCUUGCCACUCAAUGACUGGUCAGGAACAGAGGAGAUGGAUAAAGGCCACCCCUUCCAGAACAACAAAAUCUCCUGAUCUGGUGGAAACCUAUGAGGACAAAACACCAUGAAAUUGGAUCCAUGAGUGAUAGCAACCAAGGAUGCUGGUCCUGUUUUACAAUCUAAAUAACCAUCUUACCAUUACUAUGAUGACCCCUGGAAUGAAAGGCAAAGAACAGGACUCGAGGGAAAACUAUA